rnacentral:lncRNA from 1 species
GCAACUUCGGAUGGAAAUCGGAGAAUGUUCUCCAAUAAUAAAGCAUACCCUUCCACACUUUCUGAAACCAUAAGGUUCCUUGCAGUAUGUUGUCCAACUGAAGCAGCAUUGUGGGCUAGAACUGAUAGUUCACCAUUUGAUACGAGUUGCAACAUGAUCUGUGUUAAAACGUUGACAUUUUCUUUUGGAAAAAGAUAACCAUUCACACUGUGGGCUAGAACUGACAGUUCACCAUUUGAUACGAGUUGCAACAUGAUCUGUGUUAAAACGUUGACAUUUUCUUUUGGAAAAAGAUAGCCAUUGACACUAUCAUUGAC